rnacentral:rRNA from 1 species
AACGAACGCUGGCGGCAUGCCUAACACAUGCAAGUCGAACGAGACCUUCGGGUCUAGUGGCGCACGGGUGCGUAACGCGUGGGAAUCUGCCCUUGGGUUCGGAAUAACAGUUAGAAAUGACUGCUAAUACCGGAUGAUGUCUUCGGACCAAAGAUUUAUCGCCCAGGGAUGAGCCCGCGUAGGAUUAGCUUGUUGGUGGGGUAAAGGCCUACCAAGGCGACGAUCCUUAGCUGGUCCGAGAGGAUGAUCAGCCACACUGGGACUGAGACACGGCCCAGACUCCUACGGGAGGCAGCAGUGGGGAAUAUUGGACAAUGGGCGAAAGCCUGAUCCAGCAAUGCCGCGUGAGUGAUGAAGGCCUUAGGGUUGUAAAGCUCUUUUACCCGGGAUGAUAAUGACAGUACCGGGAGAAUAAGCCCCGGCUAACUCCGUG